AUCCUGGUUCUUCUUGCUAGUGGUGUGAUCUUGAAGAAGUUAUUCAACCUCUCUUGAGCUUGGUUGCAUCAUCCGAAAAAUAAGGAUAAUAAUGCCUUCCUCAUAAGGCACCAUACCAUCUCACGUCAUCACAAGAAGAAGAAGGGUGAGGACAGCACAGUAAGAUACUUGGAGAGAGAGAGACAACACAUUCACGUGAGAAGAACCCAAAGGACUCCCAGAAUGUAGCAGAUAUGGAGCAAGAGGAAAGCAGGUCAAAUCCUUGAGCCUUGGAGCAUGAAAGAGAGAAGGAAAAGAGGGCAGUUCUGGGCCUGAGCAAAGGAAGGGCCACGUGGGAUUUCCCAGAAAGUUUGAAUCCAAGAAGCCUUCUCAGAAGACGUGAAUCUGAGCAGAGCUGAAAAUGGCUCGUGCAAAGACUGUGGAGGCAGGGGGGGCGGUAAUUCUAGGCUGAUGCAAGCAGGCACCAGAAGCAAAUUUUCGGAGGCUGAGCCCUGGCUGGAGUCUCCCCAGCCCUGCUUUGAAUGGGGUGUCCAGCCUGAGGAGACAAAAGUUAACUGUGGGAUCAUCAUUACGAUGCUUCGGUCUCCAGAUGCCAGGAACUAUCCAGGCUGCGGGAGGGACAGGCCACCAUUUCUUUUCCAAGGACCGUCACAGCCUGGCUGCUCCCCUGCCACAGACUCUGUGACUUGGCCCUUGGGAAUUCGCCUGGCAGUCUCUAAACUGCCCAGCAGGUUGGACCAUUGAGUAUGAAGAAAUCUCAUGUUAAUGACCUUGAGUGAAAGUGUCCAGGUCUUCGCCAGCCUCCCUUAGCCUCUGAUGUCAUCUCCUUCCUCCCCAUUUGUGCC
rnacentral:lncRNA from 1 species